GCAAGUCGAGCGCGAAAUCACUUCGGUGAGAGUAGAGCGGCGGACGGGUGAGUAACGCGUAAGAAUCUACCUAGUAGUGGGGGACAACUCGGGGAAACUCGAGCUAAUACCGCAUACGCCCUACGGGGGAAAGCGGGGGACCUUCGGGCCUCGCGCUAUUGGAUGAGCCUGCGUAAGAUUAGCUAGUUGGUGGGGUAAAAGCUCACCAAGGCGACGAUCCGUAGCUGGUCUGAGAGGAAGAUC
rnacentral:rRNA from 1 species